AUCCAGAUGACAAGUCCCAAAUAGGACGAAACUCGCGUCAUACUAGAU
rnacentral:hammerhead_ribozyme from 1 species